rnacentral:rRNA from 1 species
GGACAACCUGCCCUCGGGAGGGGGGAUAACCCCGGGAAACUGGGGCUAAACCCCCAUAGGUGAUGGAUACUGGAAUGUUCCAUCACCGAAAGUCCGCAAGGAGCCCGAGGAUGGGUCUGCGGCGGAUUAGGUAGUUGGUGGGGUAACGGCCCACCAAGCCUAAGAUCCGUACGGGCCAUGGGAGUGGGAGCCCGGAGAUGGACCCUGAGACAAGGGUCCAGGCCCUACGGGGCGCAGCAGGCGCGAAACCUCCGCAAUGCGGGAAACCGCGACGGGGUCAGCCGGAGUGCCGAUGCUUGCAUCGGCUGUCGGGGAGCCUAAAAAGCUCCCCAUAGCAAGGGCCGGGCAAGGCCGGUGGCAGCCGCCGCGGUAAUACCGGCGGCCCGAGUGGCGGCCACUAUUAUUGGGCUUAAAGCGUCCGUAGCCGGGUUGGUUAGUCUCCCGGGAAAUCUGGCCGCUUAACGGUCAGAAUUCCGGGAGAUACUGCCAGCCUAGGGACCGGGAGAGGCCGAGGGUAUUCCCGGAGUAGGGGUGAAAUCCUAUAAUCCCGGGAGGACCACCUGUGGCGAAGGCGCUCGGCUGGAACGGGUCCGACGGUGAGGGACGAAGGCCAGGGGAGCAAACCGGAUUAGAUACCCGGGUAGUCCUGGCUGUAAACGAUGCGGACUUUGUGUCGGACAAGCUAUGAGCUUGUCCGGUG